rnacentral:rRNA from 1 species
UACAGAGGGGGCAAGCGUUAUUCGGAAUUAUUGGGCGUAAAGGGCGCGUAGGCGGCUUUGCGAGUGACGGGUGAAAUCCCUCGGCUUAACCGAGGAACUGCCUGUCAAACUGCAUGGCUUGAGACCGGGAGAGGUGAGUGGAAUUCCCAGUGUAGCGGUGAAAUGCGUAGAUAUUGGGAGGAACACCAGUGGCGAAGGCGGCUCACUGGACCGGUACUGACGCUGAUGCGCGAAAGCGUGGGGAGCAAACAGG